AGUGAGCGGGAAGUGAGGGGGUGGGUUUAGCCAAACAGGCACUGAGCUCAUUGGAACAGCACUGUUAUUUUAUCCUCCUACCAAGCAUGUAGAUUUUGGAAGGCAUACAAGCCACUAGUACACCAGCUCCCUCAGUUGCCCCAGACUACAGGAGCAGAGAAGAGACUGUCGGAAUCCUAAGCAUCCUCACAAACCUCAGCCCGCCCGACAUACCAGAGGGCAUCUCUCGGUUGGCACUCAAAUCUCAAUCUUCAGACUCUGAGACUUGGAUGGCUUCUUGAGUGUCCAUUGCUCCUGCGGAAAAUGAGGCGAAUGGCUCAUUGCCCCCUGGAUGAGGGAGUGGUUCUUCCUGUUGUCCCAUGAGGUUUUGAACUCUGUCUUUUUGAGUAUGCUGGCAAGAACAAUUACUGCCUGAAGAUGGACCGUUCAUCGUUCUGGGAGCAAGCAUGGAGCUUUUUCCUAAACAUCAUCAUAUUUGGAGCCCUGCUGAAGCCAUCCAUGAGGGGAGCAACGGCUUUGUGUAAUCUUUAACUUCAUACAUUGCUGGGUGUUUUUAAACAGCUUGCGGGAUGCGUCCUUUAUGUCACAGGAUGCCCACUUGAUCCCACUGUGUGGAUGGACCCCACGAUGUGGACGCAACAGGCAUGUCAGUAGCACGUGGACCUCCAAGGAUUCAUCGAUUCCCAUUCUGUCAAACGGUCUAUGAUAAAAUCGCGAGGCAACUCGAAUCUGUACACCCGGAUUGCAUUGAAGUGCUUCAUUUAAAGCGUUUCUCCAAAGGGUCACGCAGUAAGAGGGGGGCGAGUAAGAGAAGCUUUGUGAAACGGGGGCACUUACCAACACCGUUUAGGACAGGGGUGCUCAUUAGGUAGAUCCUGAUCUACCGGUGGAUCUAAGACAGGUCCCAAGUAGAUCUGAGGAGUGUCGAGGAGAAAAAAAACAAACAAACAACCAUUUGUGUGUCUUUGUACAUGUUAAUAAUAUAUUUUUUGUGUUAAUGUACACUGCACCCUAAUCAUCUCAUCAGUGUCAUUUUCACAAAAAAUACCGUAUUUUCACGACUAUUCGACGCAUCGUACUAAUGGCCGCAGUCUCAUUAAUGGGUGACAUUUCUGUAUUUUACACAUACACAGGACGCACCGUACGAAUGGCCGCAGUUUUACAGUGGUAAAACAUACGCCAGCUUAAACAUACGGCAUGCAUGCGCGCACUCUAACACGUUAGCUUGAAGCAUACGGUAGCAUGCCAAGACAUACAGAUAAGAUAAAAACACGUUUUUAAAAAGGCAACGAAAGCAGAACUGAGUUCGGGUGUAUUUUAUUUAGCCAUCGUACAAUGUUCUCACGUUUUUCGAUAAAUCAUCACCCAGAAAUCCAUCAAAGUCC